rnacentral:lncRNA from 1 species
CCAAUUUUAAUAAAAUCUAGAUAAAGAAUCAAGAACCAAUCGUACAGGUGCUAUACUAUCAAGAAAUUUGUAUCUUUUCAUUUUCUGAAAUGUCAGAGUUCAAAGAGAGUUUUUCUCCACCAUGUACAGCAGUUGCCCCGCGUGUGGCAUUGCUAGCUUGCGCUGCAUUCAAGUAGUUUUCUCACAUGACUUUUAAUCCAUAUGCAUCAGCAUUCUGUUGACAUCCAGAUGUAAAAUAGUAGGGCUAAAUUCCCAUCAACACACAUAUAUGAGGCAGCAGGAUAACUGUUAUAGGUAGGCAGAUAAUAGAGAUGUGAACCAUCAUCUGACUGUGGGCAAAAAACACUAGAAUUGGAUUUUUAUCCACCAUCAUCGAAUCAGUAAAUUUGCUAAAAGAAUGUGUGAGGAUAAAUUAAACAACAAAAAAGAUAACUCGGAUCAGAAUAAAAGGACAAAUGAUGAACAGACUUUAUAGGAAGAACUGCCAGCAUCCGGAUGAGUAUAACCUCCAUUAUAUAACUAUUAUAGCAAAAACACAAACGUGAAAUAUUGUAUCUAAACUAAACCCAAAGUUAAGACACUAAAGGUAAAUUAUCAUUUCGCAAGACCUAAUUAAAUCAACAGUUAAAUGUCUAUAUGGGUAGUCUUGAGGGCAAAAGCUAGUAGGCGGAUAGUAAAAACCUUGCUCUGCAGCUGAGUGUUCACCGGUCCCACCUUUCAUAGACCCACUGGGUUAGCUCAAUGAGAUGCUAGAAGAUGUAUGAGUUGGUAUUACAUUUUUACGUGAAUCCUGAGAAUAUAUCCACACAAAUAACGUUAUUAACUUAUUACGAAUCAAUUGGAAAAAGUUACCACUAAAGGCAAGCGCCAAUUAAUAUCAUACACUUAAAAGAAUUAUUAUUGCACCAAACCAGACAAAGAACAUAUAAUAAAAUUUAGAAAGAAAUUAAAACAAAUAUGAUGUUGUCAAGACAGAGAAGAGAGAGCUAGUGCGUCAUGCAAAACAAAUUCUAUAAUGACACACCUUAUUCCUCUCAACCAAUGGAGCACAAACAUCAGAUUUCAGACGUCCAUCAAGUGAAUAUACCACUCAAAUCAUAUUAAAUUAACAAUCGUAAAUUAACAUGGAUGACUGUGAAUUUCGGGUAGUUAAAUAAACACCAUCAAACCUUCUCUAGCCUGCUCCGCUUUAGAAUCCAAAAAAAUCAUGACAAAUCAAUAUCAUUGAAAGUUUAAAGAAAUAUACCUAAGUAGUAUAAUAAAAAUAACAUAAAAGAUUAUAAUCAAAAUCGCUUUUGUGAAAAAAUUAGUCAUGAGGAUUAUAUUUAUAUGUGUGUAACAAAAUGAAUUUUCACCUGGUCGUGCCACAUCAAGUUCUCCAACUUCUAUGUUUUUUACGUUAAUCUAUAUGUGCUUAACUACAGAAGUAGAUCAUGUUAAAGUCAUGAUCAAAAUUGAGAUAAGUAAAUUUGUUGUCCAGGGCCUAUGAUUCCCACAUCUUCCCAGUAUCGUUUGAAACAAAGCCAUAUUUAUAUAAGAAAAGAUAAAUGUGUGUGUGAAUCGAGGUAAGUAGUGUGAAGAUAGCUUUCUCAAAUGACAAAUAUUAACCAUAUAACAAUUAGAUGCAUAAAAGUUAAAAAAAGUGUACAGCCCAAGAAUCUAUACCCAUUACUUAUCGACGCAAGAAAUAAUGAGGAUGAAAUACAUGAAUAAUGCCCGAUCAUUAAGAGAGGAGGAUGCUAACCUGUUCAAUCAUCGGACGACAAUCAAGAAUUAGAAAUCUGGAGAAGAGAUGAUUAGUAUCAUUUUCAAAUUGAUCUGAAAUCUAGAUCUUGUUAAACAUGACAAAUGAUUUGAAGCACAGGAUAAAAUUGAUCUUCAAGCAAUGGAUCAAAGGUUGCAGGCUCCUUUUCUUUAUUGCCCUUUCUAUGGGAUGAUUGAUUUGUAGCAGAAGAUGAAGAUGCCUGGCAGUCGUCUCCACCAAUAUUACCACCU